UUUUUCUUAGGAUUUUAUAUAAAGUCCAACACAAAGCAGAUGAUAAAUGUGAAGGUAAAGGAGGAGGUAAACAAAUACAUAGCACUCAAAUGUUUUUAUACAUAAAAGCAUGAUACACAUUUGUAUUCAAACCCCUAUUAUAUUACUCCUAAUGAUUUCAGUGUACUGACUGUAAUUUAACCUCAAUAGUGAUUUGAGAAUAGCAGUGAAUAAACAGCACCAUGGAGAUCAAGGAACACACCAGGCAGGUCACAACAGUGUUUCAACAUCUCACAGAGCAUUGUUUGAGUCUUCAUUCAGAAGUGGGAGCAAGAUGGCACAGUUGCAAACCAACCAAGACAUAACCAUAUUCCUAAACUGACAAUUCUGCAAAGGGUAUUAAUGAAAAAAAGUAACCCUUACUUUCUCCAUGAUGAGAAUCGUAGCGAUCUACAGCUCAGUUGGGAGAAUAUGUUAACAUUAAAACAGUCAAUUCUGCACUCUACAAAUGUCUCCCCUAUAGUAAAGUGGGAAAGAGAAAGUCAUUGUUGAAAAUAAGCCACAAGACAUCCAUGAAGGCAAUGUAUAGGAUGCAUAAAUGUGGAAAAAAGGUACUCUGUUGCAGGGCAGAAAACCUUGACAUAACCCUGAACACACAAUCCCACUGUUGAGACAGCAUCAUACUGUGGAGAUGCUUUUCUCCUGACUGACAUUGAGGUGCAGAUGUGCAAAUCUGGGAGAGGCCAACUCUUACAACUGGAGGGGCGGGGAGUCAAUGAUUGUAACGUGAUAAAAAAGUAAAUGAAUUGAUUUGAAGAAAAGAGAAAUUAGUUCAUGUAAUUAUGUCAUAUUGGGACAUAAUUACAUGUAAUUCUAUCCAUGAUCACCAAAUAAGUCCCAAUAUGAAACCUGAUUCUCUUAAAUCCACAGCUUGGGUGACUGUCUCGCUUCUUGGUUGGAAGACACACUACAGGUCCCUAUAUGUGGUUCCACAAGUACUGCCUUGCAUACUCCGCCCUGCCCCCAACCUUGUCCACCCUGUAAAGUGCCAUUAUAAAAAUGUCAAGGGGUCCCUCUCUCUGUCAAAAUCAUGUGCCAUUAUGCAAAUCACUGUGUGAACACACAUUCUCAAAGAUUUACAUAAGCUAUAUGGACUAUAACUCAAAGGAGAAUACAGAAGUAAUUCAAAUAGGUGUUAUAUGGAAAUUUUCUUAAAAAUAAAAAAUAAUUAUUGUCUUAUCUUUAGUUUGAAUUGUUUAGUGUUAUGCGUUUACUAAGUUUGUGUUCUUAACAAUAAUUUAUAUGGUAUUUUCUUUAUUAUACGAGCGUAAAACAAAGAUUUUUAAGUAGGGAUGUACCAAUCAGGCAGUUUUCGUUGAGGUCUGACUUGUCUAUUCUGCUUUUGACGCUUCCAAUUUAUUUUCAUACUGUGACACAUAAAGGACCACAAAUAUGUUGAAGGUUUUUAAUUUUUUUUCCCACUUUUUUAUAGAGAGCAGUUUUUAUUCCAAAAGAAUAAAAACUGCAAUGACACAUAAAAUCAUACAUACAUAAACAAUAAAAAAAUUACACUUUUUAUGUAUCAAAACAUGUGUCCCUAAGCUUAAUUAGAUUUUUUUAUUGAUUUAAAAGACAAAUCAAAGUUCAUUCUUUUCACAGAUGCAUUAUUAGAUAAAACAUGUUGGGAGUUUUUAGUCUUGAUGCAUAAUAGUCUUGGUGAAUCAGCAAAUAAAAUUGGAUGUUUUGCAUUUUUUCAGAGGCAAUAAAGAUAAAGGAAAAAUUGAAAGAUGCAGAAAUCUGGCUGUCUGGUGCAUUUCUAGCAUAAUAUGAAGGUAGAGAAUAAAAAAGGAAGUUUAAAAAAAAAAUUAAAAUUAAAGUGUAUGCAGAUCUGCUUAGUUUCCAAUGCAACAGAAGUCAGACUCAUGCUCAAGUUUGAAUAUAUUCAAAUCAAGAGGAUUUUCCAUCACUGAUACAUUUUAUUGAAAAGAUCACACAAGGAAGGGUGUAGUGGCAGUACCCUCUCAAAUUGGGUGGAGAGUGAUUUUCUGAGUGACUAUUAGACAGAAGCUUUUAUGUGAUUGGAUCCAUUUUACAUUUUCUCACUCUUUCUUUUUUCCUGGCAUUAAAUGUCUGUGUUUGAAAUGUAAUGUCUGCAGAGGAAAUGGAGACAAUGAGAAACGAAGGUGAGAGGGAUAUAAGAGGCAGAAAUGUGAAAUUCUUUUGGUAGAAAGCAUGAAGGUGCCUGAGACAGAGGUGAACCCUGUAAUGUACCCAUUUGAAUGUUGAAUCAUCCAUUUACCAUGACUUUCACUGCGUUGCUGUUGGACAGAGUUCCUCAUACGAAGAGCAAUAAAAAGGUUCUAUGUGUAUACUUCUUUGGACUUGCACAAUAGCUCAAUGUGACAUUAUAGAAAAUCAAAAAAAGAACAGCUAACUUCCCCACUCUGUGACACAUUAGGGUAUCGACGAGGUCUAGCGAAAGGCGUAAGAGAAACAGCAGCCAGGGCCCUCUGUUUUGACAGCUAUAAACUAGAACAUUGUUCCAUUGUUUGCUUCCCACAGAUGCAGUUUGAGUGGCAGUGAGUGUGGCGUACGCUGACAUGUAGAGCUGCUUCACAUUUCCUCUAAUUGCUCCGCGUUGCCCGAGCCUGGCACACAUGUAGAGCAUGGUGAGAGGCAACUCUUUUCAGGUCAGAACAGGAGGUGCUGUGUUUUGGCAUACAAAGAAGAAAAAAUGCAGCCAUGAGGGGGUAGACAAAUAACAAGAGGAGUAGGAGGAGAAAAGCACAAAGGGGAGGCGUUUUAUCAUUUCUGACUGAGUAUUCUGAAGGACAGAGGUCGACGGCCCUGUUUCUGCAACUCUGUUGUAGAGUAAGGUCUGGCAUUUAGCAUUAACCUACAUACAGUGGCAAAAACAAGUGCUGAACACACGAAAUUCAUUUUAAUAGGGCUAUUAGAAAAAAAUAAUACUAGAUAUCAGUGCACAACCCAAGUAAUUUAGACAUACAAAGAAAUUAGAUAAAUGGCAGAGGGACUAAGUAAUUGACACACUUAGUGAUAUUUCUUCAAUACUUAGUAAAGAUUUUUUGGUCAUGGUAGAUUAAGGAGGACUAAUGCAUGAAGAAAGUAUUUGCAUGCUUAGUCCAGGCAUGAUUUGGACCCAUUCUUCAGCUCAAACUCUCUUCAAAUUUUCAAUGCUAUUUGAUCAUGAAUUCUUUCCAUCAAUUUUCAGUUGGGAUGAUUGCCUUGGCCAUUCCAGCAGUUUUCUUCCUCCGUUGAGGGUUUGAUUGCCUGUUUAUUUGGAUCAGUGUCUUGAGGGGAAAAAAAAUCACCCUUUGAUAGUUCAUCUUGGGCCUCUGAUUAAGAAAAACCCAGUACAUUUAUCCUCAAUUCAAUUUAAUGAGGUAUUACAGUACCAUAUUGUUAAAGACAGUCCGACUCUAUGAUGUUCCCAUCUCCAAACUUAAUUGUUGGUAUGUAAUUUUUUAAUACUUCCUUUUGACCAGACUAUUUCUUACCCGUACUUCAAUCGCUUAAUGUUCAAAUGUUCAGUAACAAACUUUAAGGCAGCUUCAAAAUGCUUUUCCUUCUGCAGUGGAGUCUUUGUGCAGCAAGUGCUCACAGACAACAUUGUGGUUGAGUGCAUUGUUUAUUGUUUUCAUGUAAGAACUGUAGCUUAUGAAUCCUGGUCUUUCUGAACUUCAUUGCAAGUGGAGGUUCAAGAAGCUUGAGUAAGCUUCUUGAUUAUUUUGUUCUACUUCUAAAGGGUACAUGCACAUUUUGACAGAAACAUGCACAAGUAUGUGCCUUUCUUAGAAGUUUUUAUAGAUAUAUAAUUUUUAUAAAACAUAUUCCGCGUGUUCUUCUACCUUACAUAUAAUUUGUGAACUUUGUUUUGACUUGUUUUUAUGUGUUGGAAAUCUGGGCUUUUUACUGGUGUCUGGUCUAAAUUCCAUGUCAAUAGCAACAAUAGAAAUACAUUUAUUGAUAGACAUUGAUGUUUUCAGUACAUUUUUAUCCACUUUACAUGUCACUCAAAUGCAUUUUGUCCGUCAGCAAAGAAAGUCAGUUUUGUGGAAACCACCACAAAUGCAGAAACAAAGAAAGGGGGGCACAAUAUAGUGGCAGACACAGCGUCACUUUUGAUUCAUGUUGCGCUGAGAAGUAUUGAGAUUGGAGAAAAUCCUUGCAAGGGAGGAGGGAAAAAGCCUCUAUCCUUGCUGAUGCUAUUUUAAUUAAAUAGUUGCUAGGUUACACAUUGCAGAACGACAGAGGUAGGUGGUGUGGCACAGGCGUCUGGGCAAGGGGAACAGUGUGUGUGAGGCAGCACAUGUCCCUGAACAAUGAAAACACAUCCCCCUUUCUUUUUCCACAUCCCAAUUUAUAAUAAGGAUUUCAAAUGCGAGACAUAUUGACAUGAACUACAGUGAGAGCGAUUUUACGCUCCCUAAAACUCUCUCCUUCGCCGUCUCCCCGUAUCCGUCUGUCCUUUUCAUUAUUUUCUCACAGAUCUGAAGAUGGGUUGGUGAUGGGGGGAGGAAGCCCCUUUUCAUCAUGGUGACACUGCUUUUCACCUCCGCUGGUGACUGGUGCUCCCAGUGCACGCCGGGAUCCCAGACAUCGCAGAAUGCCACGAGGCCCCGUGUGCCCUGGCAACUGCUUCGGCUUUUUACUGCCUCCUCCCAAAACAUCCUCGUGAAUGUACAGACACACCUCCUCUAGUUUCUACCCCGAGCCUCCAUCCACAGCAGCUCUGGCCACACAGCAGCUCAGACAGAGCUCUGAUGGAGAUGGACUGGAAGAGAGGGGAAGUCUUCCUUGAUGUUGGAAAUAAAUCUGACAGGCCCCACCGGAUGUGGCAGAGUCUAAUCUUUUUUCACCGACUGAAGGGUGUGUGCAUGUAGAGGAGUUUGUCUUUUUUUUUUUUUUCACCCAACAUCACUUUCUUUAUUUUCAACACCCCCUCUUCAUCUCAGCCUUUCUUUUCUGUGGCAGUGCAGAUAAUGCCAUAAUUUACAGCCAUGCAUUGCAGAAGAUGAAUGAUAGUUGCUUUUCUUGCUUGGGAUGCAUUCACCUUUACCAGAUAAUAGCCCUUUUGAGAGAAUAAUAAAAGCAAAUGUCUUAUUUUUAUAUUACGUUUUCAUUCUAACGCUCGAGAAGUGAAAUGUAAUUUUCAAUCUUUCAUUUAAAAACAAAGUUGAUGGUUAUGAGUGCGCUACUUUUUUCCUUAGAUAUUCCUCUUUCAUAUUCUUCAGUGAAAUAUUAUAAAAGUAAAAAGUUUUUUUUAUGUUAUUCAAUCAUUUAAAGUCUCUGGUGCAUAUAAGAGUAUGCCUAAAAAGGGUAAUUUUGCACACACACACACACACACACACAAAUGUGUAAUGCUUAGUAAAAGAAUUGAUACGUAUGGAACUUUUUUUAUAUUUCUCACAUCACAACUACAAACUUUAGUAGAAAGUAUAUAAUUUAGAUUUUUUUGUGUGACAGACCAACACAAAGCAGUGGAUAAUUAUGGAGUGGAAAUAAGAUAAUAUAUAUCUUUAAAGCUUUCUGUGAAAAAAAAAGAAAACUCUCUCUGAAGUCAGCUAAAAAGACUGUCAGUAUGAAGCCCUUAGAGGUUUGUUAGAGAAUUAGUGAACAAACAGCAGCAUGAAGACAAACAGGUCAAGCUGUGGAGAAGUUCAAUCCAUUGUAUGAAAAUGGAAAGAAUAUGGCACAAAUGCACAGCUGCCCACCUAAACUGAAAGUGUUUCCAGGGGGCAUAAAGCACUGAAAUUCAGUACUGGAAUAAAGCAGAAAGAUUUGCCCUCUGCAGUUUUCCAUAAGUCACAUAACAAAAAGAGUAAAAAUGUAACAGAAGGAGCUCUAGUUAAAUGUAAUGCAUGCAAAACGCUAAAUGUGGUACAAAGCUCAUCCCUUAAAAACACCAUGCUCACUGUGAAACAUAGUGGCAUCAUCAUUAUGUUUUUCAGUUUUUCAGCAAGGACCAGGAAGCUGACCAGAGUUGAUGGGAAAAUGGGUGAAGCUAAAUACAGACGACGCUGCAGGAGGGAACGGACAAUCAACAUGUGUCUGCAGCACGACAGGCUUGUUUCUGAGUGUCCAGGGUCAGCCUCCCAAGGGACCACUCCAAAGGACUGCAGUGACCUGCCAACACCUCUCCCCUGACAUGGUGCAGCCAGAGGUCAAAGACAAUAUCUGAGGCGGCGUCGGAUCAAUGUGUAACCUUCUGACAUAUAAUCAGGAUUAGGGCAAUUGACCCAUUCAUAUUUUUGCUAAUGUUCUGAAGACAUUUUAUUUUUCAAGGAAAUGCGAUGCAUUACUUUGAAGAAACCAGAACUAUUUAAGUUAUAUUAAUGAAGCAGUUUGUUUCUUGUGAGGCAAGACCAAAGAUAUGAACAGAAGAAAACAAAUAUUCUAAAUUUGUUCCCUUACCAACAUCAACAAGGUAAAAUCUUGUAUAUAAACAAAACUGAUACACUGAUAUAUGAAUCUAAAUAAUGAUAAAAAAAUUUAAAUCAGUAGGUGGACAAAUAAAUUUAGCUGGCCUAUAGAACUAAGAUUAGUUUUAUAUAUGUUCUACUUCACAGUUUCCAAAGACACCUAACUACGUGAAUAAAUCAGAAACAUCAGCCGGCUCUAAAGCUAUGUGAACCAGAGGUUUAACUACUAUAUGAAUGCCAUUUGCAUUAUUUUCCUAAUAAAAUGUAACAGUGAAAAUUAGCUCCACCAAGCUUGAAGCACGUAGAGGAGAAAAGUGGGGGAAAAAAACCAAUUGCCAUUUCCACAUUUUUCUUAAAGCGUAUGGGUAGAACAAUAUGAUUUUUUAAAAUAAUAUUUAUUAUUGAUAUUAUAUUGACAUUGGAGAAACCUAAAAAGGAAAACUCCCAAAAAGGCAACACUAUGUGCACACUGCAGCACCUUUGUUCUAGUUCAAGUCCCGCAUUCACUAAAGUGCGAUAAAUCCUCCUAAUGAACGGUCAUCCAGAGUGCUGCAUAAACGACAACAACAUCACACGGUGUUCCAUAUCAAAGAUCCCAUCUACUCUCAUCCUUCCACUGGCUCAAUCCGAGGCCUUUUCUCUGGACACAUUAUUACUGUCAUCAUUUUAACAUGAAAGGGAGGAAACAAGUGCUGUACCACUACCAAGGAGACACCUUGAUCCCAGAGCAUUUGCAUUCGCCACCUUGUUCCGCCUGAUGUAUGAACGAGUUAGCGCUGGGCUCUGUGAUUGGCCGGCGCUGAAAAGCAGAAGCAGGCACUCUGCUAAUGCUGCAUAUGUUGUUCCCCCUUCCCCCCUUCUUCCACACUGUGUCACACUCAGGUGGUGGCACUAGAGGGCAGUCCACCCUGUUGCUUUUUGUUGUGGAGGAGGCAGACACUGUUGGACUCACACUGAGGGAAUGAUCUUUUAAAAUAUUUUGUAAUUUUUGUCAAUUCCAUGGAAAAUUUGUCAGGACUUUUUGGAAAUCAGUGGUUUGACAAUUACUUCUGGACUGGACGGUUUAUCCUCAGUUGAGUACUGAAAAGGAAAACUCAUCAAUUGGUUUUCGUCAAUUGGAAAACUCUGUUAGUUUAUGCAAUGUAUAGUCACAUUGCAUAAACUAACAGAGGUGGGCAACAAGGAUGCUUUCCAAAAGCUUUUAAAGAAAGCCUUUUAUUUUAAAGAGGUAGGAUAAUGCUCUCACACACACAGCUGGACUGUUGGCUCUCUGUCUGUGGUGCAGUCAUUCAGGAGGCUGCUGCUAAUUGAAGACACACAACAAUGAAGCGCGGAAACCCCAAAGCAACAGUGUUAAUCAGAGAAAAAAAAAUAAUGUAAGAGGAGUAGUGAUUACAGUGAGGACAGCCAGCCAUUUCAGCAGACCUCAAAUUUGAUCUAAGUGGUGAUUUUAAUAUAGUUUAUAAGGACUUCUUGUGCACUUCUUUCCCCGUCUGCCAGAAGCUAGCUCAGUCCGAGACAAAUCCAGAAAACUUUAUUACUGGAUGAGUGUAAAUAGGUUACAUUAGUUGGGAAAGAAGCGUUAGAUUCAACAUUUAUGUUGAUAUUAAAUCACCAUCAAACACUCUAUUGUUUCAGAUCAUUGUAAAAAUAUUCUCCUGUUGACUUUGCGUCAUAACUUUUGUUGCUCCCAACCAUUCAAACACAAAACAAAGACAAUUUAAUUACUGUUUUAUAUACAACAUUGAAACGCUUUUUAAAAACAUGUAGCCACGACAUUUAUUUAUAAGUUUGUUUAUAAAGCACUUGUCAUUUUAUAUCAACACUACUCUAAUACUUUCUGCCUGUUGCCUUCAGUUGGCAUUUCUACUUUCAUUAACAUCUCCAGUGCCUCUGCUUGUUUAAAAAUACUUCAACUUCUAUUAAAAUUUUUAAAUACAUUUAUCAGUUGACUAUAAUUAUUUUUGAUUUCUUUUAGCAACCUGUGACAGAGUUCUGUCCUAUUUUUCUGCUUGUUUUUUUUUUUUUCAGAAAUUUGUGAAUGUGACAAAUAAAAACCUUGAACCUUUUAUGUUUUACCACUAAAUGAAAUGUCCACUGUGGAUUUUUCACUUGUGUUUGUCAUUAAUUAUUUAACAUGAAUCUGUUCCAAAUGUUGUUUCUUUGUUACUUGGAGGAAGUGUGAAUGAUUUGCAAAUGGUUUGACCUUCUAAUCAAAACUCCGUCAUGAUAAAUAUUUUUCUAUGCCCAUUAAAAAGGUGGCGUUGUGGAAUUUU